UGAGGAAUAUUGGACAAUGGUCGGAAGACUGAUCCAGCCAUGCCGCGUGCAGGAAGACUGCCCUAUGGGUUGUAAACUGCCUUUAUAUGGGAAGAAUAAGGCUUACGUGUAGGCUGAUGACGGUACCAUAAGAAUAAGCACCGGCUAACUCCGUGCCAGCAGCCGCGGUAAUACGGAGGGUGCAAGCGUUAUCCGGAAUCAUUGGGUUUAAAGGGUCCGUAGGCGGGUUUAUAAGUCAGUGGUGAAAGUCUGCAGCUUAACUGUAGAAUUGCCAUUGAUACUGUAGAUCUUGAAUCGUUGUGAAGUGGUUAGAAUAUGUAGUGUAGCGGUGAAAUGCUUAGAGAUUACAUAGAAUACCGAUUGCGAAGGCAGAUCACUAACAACGUAUUGACGCUGAUGGACGAAAGCGUAGGUAGCGAACGGGAUUAGAUACCCCCGUAGUCC
rnacentral:rRNA from 1 species